CAGUAGCCGCGGGAAUACGGAGGGCGCGAGCGUUACCCGGAUUUACUGGGCGUAAAGCGUGCGUAGGCGGUUUGUUAAGUCUGUUGUGAAAUCCCCGGGCUCAACCUGGGAAUGGCAAUGGAUACUGGCAAGCUAGAGUGUGUCAGAGGAUGGUGGAAUUCCCGGUGUAGCGGUGAAAUGCGUAGAGAUCGGGAGGAACAUCAGUGGCGAAGGCGGCCAUCUGGGACAACACUGACGCUGAGGCACGAGAGCGUGGGGAGCAAACAGGAUUAGAUACCCGCGUAGUCCCUGUCUCUUAUAC
rnacentral:rRNA from 1 species